rnacentral:rRNA from 1 species
UCGAACGAUGAACUCCAGCUUGCUGGGGGGAUUAGUGGCGAACGGGUGAGUAACACGUGAGUAACCUGCCCUUGACUCUGGGAUAAGCGCUGGAAACGGCGUCUAAUACCGGAUACGAGCUUCAGCCGCAUGGCUAGGAGUUGGAAAGAAUUUUGGUCAAGGAUGGACUCGCGGCCUAUCAGCUAGUUGGUGAGGUAAUGGCUCACCAAGGCGACGACGGGUAGCCGGCCUGAGAGGGUGACCGGCCACACUGGGACUGAGACACGGCCCAGACUCCUACGGGAGGCAGCAGUGGGGAAUAUUGCACAAUGGGCGCAAGCCUGAUGCAGCAACGCCGCGUGAGGGACGACGGCCUUCGGGUUGUAAACCUCUUUUAGUAGGGAAGAAGCGAAAGUGACGGUACCUGCAGAAAAAGCACCGGCUAACUACGUGCCAGCAGCCGCGGUAAUACGUAGGGUGCAAGCGUUGUCCGGAAUUAUUGGGCGUAAAGAGCUCGUAGGCGGUUUGUCGCGUCUGCUGUGAAAUCUGGGGGCUCAACCCCCAGCCUGCAGUGGGUACGGGCAGACUAGAGUGCGGUAGGGGAGAUUGGAAUUCCUGGUGUAGCGGUGGAAUGCGCAGAUAUCAGGAGGAACACCGAUGGCGAAGGCAGAUCUCUGGGCCGUAACUGACGCUGAGGAGCGAAAGCAUGGGGAGCGAACAGGAUUAGAUACCCUGGUAGUCCAUGCCGUAAACGUUGGGAACUAGAUGUGGGGACCAUUCCACGGUCUCCGUGUCGCAGCUAACGCAUUAAGUUCCCCGCCU